AUGUGUCGGCAUAUAUUGUUCUAUAUGGUUUCUUACGCAUAUAUUGAUUUUUUGCAUUUGUUUUGUAAAACCAGAAACAUGUCAAAUUCGUAUACUUUUGCACUAGAAUCGGGCGGUGGCUGGGGACUGGGAGACGUCUCCUUGAUGGGUGCUGGUGGGCGUAGUUUAGUUCUCAGUAGUUUUGCGCCAAAGGACAUCAAGCUUGGUAUAGCUUGUUGGUGUGAGAACAAAAAAUCUCUUAUCAGAUCAAUUGGUCUAGGUGGGAUUCUUACCAUGCCUGAUAUGCAGACAUUCAACCGAGAUUUCACACAGUUGCUCUAUCAACGGGUAGAUAGUAAUGAACGUUGCCUCAGAGUCGGAGUCAAAGAGGUUGUAGGGAUAAACGAGAUCCAGGUAUCUAGAGUGCUAGGCAUUAGAUAUGGUGGAUCUGUAUCUAUUAAAAGAGAUGAUGGGAUCCCAAGCAUUGAAGACGUAAGGAACGCAAGGGUUAUGUUAUGUCUGGUUAAAGAUGGUUUGCAAAAUACGAAAGAGAUAACAGUUCCAGAGGUGAUCGAGGUCCUGCGUAGAGUUUGCAGCAAUCCAAUGACUAUUCAAGAAGAGGUUAUGACAAAGGUGGCCUUUGUAAUGCUUUGUACGGCAGUUUUUUCUGUCCAAGAGAGAGUCGGACAUCGAUACCUUUAG
rnacentral:rRNA from 1 species